CCUCACCUUCACUUUAAGUUUUUUCUUUUUUAAAAACAAAUUUCACUAUUUUUUUAAGGUUUUAACUUUUUUGUGGUUAAUCAUAAAAAGAUUAUUUGCCGGUUUCGCUUCAGGAGCUAUGAAAACAUUACCUUAAACAUGUUGAACUCGACAUUUGGUGGAGGUUAAUUCUAAAUGUUUUUUUGAAUUUCAUUCUGACCUUAUGUUUAACCAAACCUAAACGCUGCUGCAUGUUAAGUCAAAUAAAGUUCUAUGGAAAUUAAAUGCCUUGUUCAUAAUACACAAUAUUCUCAGAGAAAAACUGCACUAAUUUUAAAAGCUUCUCACCAAGCCAUAAUGCAAAUGAGAAAAUAAAAUUAGUACUGGAGAGAGGUUUGGUCCCAGAUCAUGUCCCUGAACAACCGAAAAAAGCCACACAGGUAUUGAUUUAACUUAUCCACAAAACUGGUAUUGUUGUGUCAAACCGGACUACUUGCAAAUCGGACUACUUACAAACCGGACUACUCGCAAAAGACUGAAAGAAGAGGGAUGUGAAGUUUUUGGUUUGCUUUUCAGACCAGUCAAACUUUUUAAGUAUUGAUGAACAAGAUAACUUUUGUCGAUUGUAAAACAUACUAAACGUUUUAACAAUACUACAUAGUUUCAUUGAAAGUAAAUACCUUUAUAGAAACUAUUUUUAAAGAUUGAUUUUUUAUGUUUUUUGCACCAACCAAAAGUUAUUGGGACAAAUCUGGGUAGGAAGCCAUAAAUUUAAACAAUAAUCAGGUAAUGGUAUUAGUUGUUUUUUUAAAAUAUAUGGAAAUUAAAUGCCUUGUUCAUAAUACACAAUAUUCUCAGAGAAAAACUGCACUAAUUUUAAAAGCUUCUCACCAAGCCAUAAUGCAAGUGAGAAAAUAAAAUUAGUACUGGAGAGAAGUUUGGUCCCAGAUCGUGCCCCUGAACAACCGAAAAAAGCCACACAGGUAUUGAUUUAACUUAUCCACAAAACUGGUAUUGUUGUGUCAAACCGGACUACUUGCAAACCGGACUACUCGCAAAAGACUGAAAAAAGAGGGAUGUGAAGUUUUUGGUUUGCUUUUCAGACCAGUCAAACUUUUUAAGUAAUGAUGAACAAGAUAACUUUUGUCGAUUGUAAAACAUACUAAACGUUUUAACAAUACUACAUUGAAAAAAUGUCAAACAUCCACCCUCAUUAAUAAUCUGGUCCUACAUUUGUGGGCCAGGAGCAGGACGUUUCUACAAAGUGUUCGGAAAAAUAAGACAGGAUCAGUAUUAAGAAGUACUGGAGAAUUAGUUGCUUUCUUAAAUAGUAGUUUGAUUAAAAAAGUUAAGAACCCUAUAGUUAUGCAAGAUGAUGUAAUUUGUUAUACAGUUAGAAGUGCUAUUUUAUAUUAAUAACAGGGGAAAAAAAUGAUUUAACGCCAUGACUAGUUAACUUAACUGAUUUUGACCCGAUAAAAAACAUUCGAGAAUUAGUAAAUCAAGAAAUUGAAAAAAAAAUUAUAACUAACAAGCAAGAUUUUAUGAAUACUUUUAUCAGUAUCUGGCACUUAAUUUCGAGUGGAUAAAAACUACAAAAGAAUCAAAAGUAGAAUGCCACUGCGCAUACUUUUGUCUACAAAAAAAUUAUUAAGUUUUGUUUAAAAUUUUUUUGUGUAACUAUUAGGUUGAAAUAACGAGAGAUUACUGGAAAAAAUAAUAAAUGCAGAAGUAGUUAAUUUAUUCUAAUAUUAAAAAAAUCAUUGUUUAUAUAAAAAAUAGC
rnacentral:lncRNA from 1 species